AGUUCGGCAUCAAUAUGGUGACCUCCCGGGAGAUGGGGACCACCAGGUUGCCUAAGGAGGGGUGAACCAGCCCAGAUCGGAAACGGAGCAGGUCAAAACUCCUGUGCUGAUCA
rnacentral:sRNA from 1 species